UACGAAGGGGGCUAGCGUUGCUCGGAAUGACUGGGCGUAAAGGGCGCGUAGGCGGCUGUUACAGUCAGAUGUGAAAUUCCUGGGCUCAACCUGGGGACUGCGCUUGAUACGGCUAGGCUAGAGGAUGGAAGAGGGUCGCGGAAUUCCCAGUGUAGAGGUGAAAUUCGUAGAUAUUGGGAAGAACACCGGUGGCGAAGGCGGCGACCUGGUCCAUUACUGACGCUGAGGCGCACAGCGUGGGGAGUAAACAGG
rnacentral:rRNA from 1 species